rnacentral:rRNA from 1 species
ACUCAAAGGAAUUGACGGGGGCCCGCACAAGCGGUGGAGCAUGUGGUUCAAUUCGACGCAACGCGCAGAACCUUACCAGCUCUUGACAUGUCUCGUAUGGAUUCCAGAGAUGGGAUUCUUCAGUUCGGCUGGCGAGAACACAGGUGCUGCAUGGCUGUCGUCAGCUCGUGUCGUGAGAUGUUGGGUUAAGUCCCGCAACGAGCGCAACCCCCGCCCUUAGUUGCCAUCAUUCAGUUGGGCACUCUAAGGGGACUGCCGGUGAUAAGCCGCGAGGAAGGUGGGGAUGACGUCAAGUCCUCAUGGCCCUUACGGGCUGGGCUACACACGUGCUACAAUGGCGGUGACAAUGGGAUGCAAUGGAGUGAUCCUGCGCAAAUCUCAAAAAGCCGUCUCAGUUCGGAUUGUGCUCUGCAACUCGAGCACAUGAAGUUGGAAUCGCUAGUAAUCGCGGAUCAGAACGCCGCGGUGAAUACGUUCCCGGGCCUUGUACACACCGCCCGU